GAGACCCGUAUCCCCCGUUGCUACCAGCCUCGAGCUGGGCACACUGGGGAGACCGCCGUCGAUAAGACGGAGGAAGGAGCGGGCCACGGCAGGUCAGUAUGCCCCGAAUCUCCCGGGCCACACGCGAGCUGCAAUGGCAGGUACAAUGGGUUCCGACCUCGAAAGGGGAAGGAAAUCUCCAAAGCCUGCCGUAGUUGGGAUCGAGGGUUGAAACCCACCCUCGUGAACAUGGAAUCCCUAGUAAUCGUGCGUCACUAGCGCGCGGUGAAUAC
rnacentral:rRNA from 1 species